UUCCUGUAAGGGCAAUCGGACCCUUUCCGGUGAGGGAACCUCUCUCCAGACAUGAUCAAGAGAAACUGGCGAGGGACUGACAUGAUCUAGCUUACCUUGGGUCACCGAACGGAUUUGGCAUGUGACAUAAUUAUCCCAGCGAUCACUAAAACUGUAAAUUUGGAUGCAAUUAAGAGAGAAAACUCCACACAUUUAUGGAAAUUUAAGAUUUGCAGCUUGCUGGCUUGCUGAGUGGAAAAUGAUGCUUUCCCAGUUCUCCUUGGUUUCUUCCUUUCAUGAAUUGAUUAACACUGAGAGAUUAUGUUUUAAUUAUGUCGACUAGAGGUUUUAAAUGAUUCUAGGUUUCUGUGUCCAUUUGUUUUCCUAGGUUUGGGGAAUUUGCUACUGCAAUAUCGUUGUAUAGAUAUUCUUUGCUUUAGUGAGAAACUCAGUUCCUUCUACUCUGUGGUUCUUAGCUUUAGUCUAUUGUACACAUCACAGAGUUAAUGAAAGCUGUGGUCAUACUUGAUUUUUUCUUCAUUACUAUUGAAAUAAAGCAUAUCCUUG
ensembl:processed_transcript